GGGCCUAUAGCUCAGCUGGUUAGAGCGCACGCCUGAUAAGCGUGAGGUCGGUGGUUCGAGUCCACUUAGGCUCACCA
rnacentral:tRNA from 2 species